UUCAUGACACUGUUUUUGAAAAGUUGAGAAGUUCACUAUCAAGAUGGUGAGAGACUUUCUUGGUAUGCGCCCGGCAGUGGGAGGUGAGGUGAAGGAGGGUAGUAAGAAGAAGCCACACUUGUUCUUUCCUCACAAAGCACCUUACUUUAUGUCGGCAUGAGAGUGCUCGCAAAGCCCUGAGUCCUACUCAGACUAGAAGACUCUAACCACUAUGCCCAGCUCACCAUUAACAUUUUCAAGCUGGCAAUUAAAUUUUGUUGUGAGGUUUGGAUGGGGCACAUAUUCAAACUACAGCACUUAGCAAUCCAUCUGUAAGUCUUACACAUAGAGUGGAAACAGCUGCCUGGCAAGACGUCUCUUGACACCAGGGUGGAAGACAGACUCAGGAGAAUCCCUGGGCGGAUGUGCUGAUUCCCACUUCAGGGUGUGUAGGGGAUUGGCUGGCAUAGUGAGAACAAGAACCUUGAGCAGAGCUGGGGCCCUGGAAAUGCUCUGGGGCCAUUCCCUCAGCACCGCUGUAAUUCACAAUGAAACUAAUAGAAACCAUGGCAACCAGCACAGAGAAGGCAAAGAAGAAAGGAGUGGACCAUUGAAGGCUGUCACUCUGCAGGAACAAAGGCCAGUGCCACCUCAUUUUGUGGCCAUGUUGUCUGUUUUUCUCCACUGUGUUUGAGAGAAUUGACUUGGAUACAGAGAAUGCUGACACAGGAUUUGAAGACUUCCUUUGGAAGAAUGGAAACCAUGAUGCAUUUAGAUUUCGCCUCAAUAAAGUUGUUUAAUUUUCCUUUCACAGGACCUGCUUUCCUGUCCCUUUGUGCACUGGGCAUCCCAUUAUGUUUUGUCUUGUCCUUCAGCUCCAGCAGAACUCUUUUUCCAGUGGGGCAGAGCCUGUGUUGAAUGCACUUAGGGCAAUGAGUUCAGCACCUCCAAAACCACGUGAUUCGGUGUCAUAUCUGUUGUAGACCUCUGAUCAACCCAUUCUCCCAAAGUCAGAAUUCUAUGA
rnacentral:sRNA from 1 species